ACGCUCGACACCUACGGGAGGCGGCAGUCGGGAAUAUUGCGCAAUGGAGGAAACUCUGACGCAGUGACGCCGCGUGCAGGAAGAAGGUUUUCGGAUUGUAAACUGCUUUAGACAGGGAAGAAAAAGGACAGUACCUGUAGAAUAAGCUCCGGCUAACUACGUGCCAACAGCCGCGGUAAUCUGAGCGGGCUGGCAAGGC
rnacentral:rRNA from 1 species